CUUGGACGGCAGUGAGGUCAAUUACGAUAAUUUAGCGAAUUUUUCACGCUUUUACGGCGAGGUAUAUGUCACACUUCCGGUUCUUGCAGAGACUGAAUUAUAUUUAAGUACUAACGACAAUCCCAUAUAUACCUAUGUAUUUAGCUAUAGUGGAAGACGAAACAUAGUAAAAUUGACACUAGGCUAUGGAUUAAGUAAUGAACCAGGAGCUUCGCAUGCUGACGAUAUAUUCUACUUGUUUCGACAGCCUCUCAUUCCUUCGUUCUUCGAGAAUAAUAUGAUAGAUAGGUUCACGACCUUGUGGACAAACUUUGCUAAAUAUGGGGAUCCAACUCCGAAUGUGUCUGAUCUUUUGCCAGUAAAGUGGCAACCGACGAACAAAUCAUCGCCCCACUCCUUCGUCAUCGACAGAGAGUUCUCCACGACGCCACUCUGGUUCACCGACUCUCUUAAAUACUUACGAGACGUAUACCAAAAAUACAGAAGGAAAACGGACUGAGAAAAUAGGGUAUGAUGGAUUUGAAUGGUAGCAACUAUAUUUUUUUUAGUUUCUAGUUGUUAUGUCUUUAGCCUGGUUCCUAUAUUCAAAAAACGAUUCGUUUUGCUAAUGGAAUCGUAAAAUUUAAACACGACACGUUCGCAAUCCUGCUGUCGCAGAAAUCGGGCAUUACUGUGUAGAGAUU
rnacentral:misc_RNA from 1 species